GAUUGAACGCUGGCGGCAGGCCUAACACAUGCAAGUCGAGCGGAUGASRGGAGCUUGCUCCUUGAUUCAGCGGCGGACGGGUGAGUAAUGCCUAGGAAUCUGCCUGGUAGUGGGGGACAACGUUUCGAAAGGAACGCUAAUACCGCAUACGUCCUACGGGAGAAAGCAGGGGACCUUCGGGCCUUGCGCUAUCAGAUGAGCCUAGGUCGGAUUAGCUAGUAGGUGAGGUAAUGGCUCACCUAGGCGACGAUCCGUAACUGGUCUGAGAGGAUGAUCAGUCACACUGGAACUGAGACACGGUCCAGACUCCUACGGGAGGCAGCAGUGGGGAAUAUUGGACAAUGGGCGAAAGCCUGAUCCAGCCAUGCCGCGUGUGUGAAGAAGGUCUUCGGAUUGUAAAGCACUUUAAGUUGGGAGGAAGGGUUGUACGUUAAUACCGUGCAAUUUUGACGUUACCGACAGAAUAAGCACCGGCUAACUCU
rnacentral:rRNA from 1 species